rnacentral:rRNA from 1 species
UAGGGAAUCUUCCACAAUGGACGCAAGUCUGAUGGAGCAACGCCGCGUGAGUGAAGAAGGUCUUCGGAUCGUAAAGCUCUGUUGUUGGUGAAGAAGGAUAGAGGCAGUAACUGGUCUUUAUUUGACGGUAAUCAACCAGAAAGUCACGGCUAACUACGUGCCAGCAGCCGCGGUAAUACGUAGGUGGCAAGCGUUGUCCGGAUUUAUUGGGCGUAAAGCGAGCGCAGGCGGAAUGAUAAGUCUGAUGUGAAAGCCCACGGCUCAACCGUGGAACUGCAUCGGAAACUGUCAUUCUUGAGUGCAGAAGAGGAGAGUGGAACUCCAUGUGUAGCGGUGGAAUGCGUAGAUAUAUGGAAGAACACCAGUGGCGAAGGCGGCUCUCUGGUCUGCAACUGACGCUGAGGCUCGAAAGCAUGGGUAGCGAACAGGAUUAGAUACC